CCCUUAGAUGUUCUGGGCCGCACGCGCGCCACACUGAUGAAUUCAACGAGCCUAGCCUUGUCCGAAAGGUCCGGGUAAUCUCUGAAACUUCAUCGUGAUGGGGAUAGAUCAUUGCAAUUAUUGAUCUUCAACGAGGAAUUCCUAGUAAGCGCAAGUCAUCAGCUUGCGUUGAUUACGUCCCUGCCCUUUGUACACACCGCCCGUCGCUUGUACCGAUUGGAUGGUCCGGUGAAAUCUUCGGAUAGCUGGUAGUUGGCUUGCCAUCUGCUGCUAAAAGUUGCUUAAACCUUAUCAUCUAGAGGAACAAGAAGUCGUAACA
rnacentral:rRNA from 1 species